GGAUCCUUUAAACAGUUUAAAGUGACAAUUGGUGUAAAAUAAAUACUUUGAAACACAUACGACUAAAGCAUUCCAACUAUUCGACUACCGACAGUCAGCAGACUUCAUCCCCAGCAAUUCUGAAGCAACUGCAUAAGAACUAAAAAAUUACAGUCACACAAAAAAGGAGGGAUGAAUCGCAGGCCCACAGAAGAGUAUCAAAGUCUUGCAAAAGAUCAAGAUACAAGACUCAAACAGACGGUGAAAUCCCUAAAGGAUAAGGCCUUGUAGGGCAUGUAAAAUGAAAAAAAAACUGAAAGUGAUGACUGCAGAGUUCUUUUCAUCUGAGGAGUCUGAGAAAGCACUUCAUUGUGAGACGUCUACCCGUGCCUCAUUCAGUGCCUUCAAGGACAACAUUGAGAAAGCUCAAGUGAAAAAGCUAACACCUUAACACAAGAGGCGGAUGAAGAAGUGUGUGGUCUUGUAGAUUCCGGUAUCAAAGAGACCUUUACCAGAAAACUGCUCCAAUUUGUGAGGAGUGAGGAAGAGAGGGAUUGACAAUGUGAAACUUUAAUUACACUGAGUAAAUAUUACUUAUACGUCAUGGGAUCUAUUGAUAAUGCAUUUAACAUUUAAGUAAAAGGUUAAAUUUGUAAAACGUUUAAAAUAUUAAAAGUUCUAUCCCCCUUUGAAUACAGAUUAAAUGUUUUUUUAAAAGAGGAGCAAAUGCUUAAUAUAAGAAAAUUUGUAAGUGAACAUUUGUUUAAAUAAAAUAGAGGAGAAUGAAUUUCAUUUGUUUGAGAAAUGCAUUAGCCAAGGAAUUUCUCACUGCCUAUAUCUAUUAAUUUAUAUUCACUUUAUUACUAUUUUCUUGAAAUAAUUUUAUUAGCCUAGUACCUGAGGGGGAUUGAUUUUCUUUGUCUUAUUUCUUGCCAUAUUUAUUUAUCAUAGAUUAUUUAUGAAAAAUUUAUCUCCAUUUAUUUUUUUAAAUUAUUAUUUCUAUUUCCGAAUGAGUGUAUUGUCAUUGUGAUUUUAAUAGUAGCUAAUACAUGUAUUUAUGUUUGUGUGAUUAAGUUAUAUUCAUCUUAUUGAAAAUUUUGGCCCAAAAUUUGUCAAAUUGUGGUUAACUUCAGACGUAGAAAAAAAUAUGCAUCCUUAUUUUGACUGCCUUUCUGAUCCUAAUUUAAAGUGCCAAUCCUGAUCUUAUUCUAUAUUUUUUACAUAACUGAUUUUUUGGUUACUUUUUUGCAUUAAGAAGUGCAAAAAAGAAGUCCAGAAUAAAUGCAUCCUUACCUACCCUUAUUCAUCAAUGCCUGAACAUUGCUGAAAGCAAAGACAUAUUAUUAUUCUAAGCCUUACAUGAUUAAGGAUAAUACAGUUGUUCCUUUUAAAAUAUUUUUAAUUCUACUGAUGCAGUCAUUUACAGUUGUAUGUGUGAUUGUUUUGUAAUAAAUUGUUAUUUAACAUUGAUUAAUGUGAUUUUUUUUAUAAUCAAUGUAGUUUUGUUUAAGAAUUUGUAAUUCCAGAUAUGAUAUUGUUUAUGAAACCUUGUUUGUACAUGUGAUUUCAAUUUUAAUUUGUUGAAGGCCUAGUUUUUAAGCCAUACUGUAUAUUUGAAUUAAGUGACAGUUUUUUUUUUUUUUUUUUUUUUUUU